UAACCCAUGCAACUUCUGGACAAGACCCGCCUUCAAUAGCAUUCACACGCUGCUAUUGGCCAGGAGUCCAUGGUUACGCUAGGUAACGUUACCCAAUUUGUCCAGGUCCUAUCCCCUGACCAAUCGGUUAUCCUAACCUUAACCACUCAAUGUCAAUGCCUAGCCCCAACCAAUCAGACUGCUUGGUAGGGCGGGACUUGCCUAGAAGUUACGUGGGAUCCAUAAUACUGCGGCCUUGACAGUUUUCACAA